AUGAGGCCUGUUCUCAUGAAGGGGCACGAGCGCCCGCUCACGUUCCUCAAGUACAACCGGGACGGCGACCUGCUCUUCUCCUGCGCCAAGGACCACACGCCCACCGUGUGGUACGCCUCCAACGGCGACCGCCUCGGCACCUACCGCGGCCACAACGGCGCGGUGUGGUCCUGCGACGUCUCCCGCCACUCCACGCGCCUCAUCACGGGCAGCGCCGACCAGACCGCCAAGCUCUGGGACGUCCAGACGGGGAGGGAGCUCUUCACCUUCAGGUUCGACGCCCCCGCGCGCUCCGUCGACUUCGCCAUCGGCGACCACCUGGCCGUCAUCACCACCGACAGCUUAUGGGGAACAUGCCCACCGCGCAGGUCAAGCGCAUCGCCGAGGACUUGCAAGACCACGGAGGAGUCGGCGCUCGUGAUCUCCGGCAUCACGGGGAGGAUUAACAGGGCCGUGUGGGGACCCGGCAACCGGACCAUCAUCACGGCUGGCGAGGAUGCCACCAUCCGCAUCUGGGACUCUGAGACUGGAAAGCUGCUGAAGGAGUCAGACAAGGAGGCUGGGCAUCAGAAGGCAAUUAGCUCACUAUCAAAAUCCUUAGAUUGGUCUCAUUUCCUCACAGGUUCCUUGGAUAAAUCUGCUAAGCUAUGGGAUGCAAGAACACUGACCCUGAUGAAGACAUAUGUCACAGAGCGACCAGUUAAUGCUGUUGACAUGUCUCCUACUCUUGAUAAUGUGGUUAUUGGAGGUGGUCAAGAUGCAAUGAACGUUACUAUGACAGAUCGCCGUGCCGGUAAAUUUGAGGCCAAAUUUUUCCACAAGAUUUUACAAGAAGAGAUUGGUGGUGUUAAAGGACAUUUUGGACCAAUCAAUGCAUUGGCAUUUAAUCCUGAUGGAAAGAGCUUUUCGAGUGGUGGGGAGGAUGGAUACGUGAGGCUACACCAUUUUGAUCCUGAGUAUUUCAACAUCAAGAUGUAA
rnacentral:rRNA from 1 species